AUGACAUCUGCCGUGAUCACCACGCCCAUCUUAGAGUGAGGAGCUGCCCCCUACUCAGCUGUGUAUCAUCUCACUCUGAUUGAGGGCAGCUUAUUAGUGAGCCGCACAGCUGAUGUGUCAGCGUGAGCUCUGCCAGAGGAAUCAUUCCUUGGUAUACAGAGGCAACAGCAGGUCAUAGGUAUGCUUUCAUCUACCAUUGUCUUAUCAUUAUUUCAUUUUUCUUCCUUCCAAGUUUAAUUCAUUAUUCACAACAAUCUGGAUGUGAUACUUUGUUGCCACUUGCAGACUUUGUGAAAAUAUACUUUUUACUCACUUAUCUGUCAACACUGAGGAAAUAUUUUUUCCUGGAUUGACUUUCUUUCUUUUAUUUUUCACUAUCUAGUAUCUGGACUAUACAGAUCUCUUGGGCAAUUUAUCUGCCCUAUUCCCGGCAGUUAUUAUUGCAACUAGAAUCAGUAUUGACAGAAAUCUCUUGGGAUGAAUUAUAUCCAUCUCUUCUGAGACUACCUCAUCAUCAAUCUUCCCAUUUUUUCUAUCAUCAUUUUAAUCAGUACCUGCUUGCCUCCGGCUCCUCUUCCUCUAUAGGCUUGCAUCCAGGCUCUGUGCAUUGCACGGUGAUCCUACCCGCAUGCUUAAGAGGAUCAUUUCCUCUUUUUCCCAUCCCUCCUUCCAUCUAUCUGGGAUUUUCCAUCUGGGACUUUGAGCCAACCACGGCCAACUAUUCAGGUUUUUUUAGUCCACUUUUACAGACUACUGCCCCCCAUUGGUUCCUGACGAAGCCCCCUUGGGCGAAACUAGUAGAACCGUUACAUGUGGGAUGAAAUGAAGAUCACCUGCAUCU